GCAAGAACUGUGGCAGCAGAACUCUAAAAGUUACCAUGGCAACAGCUUUCAUAGUAGCUCAGUCAAGCAGCUACCUGCAAGAGUGGCGGCACCUGAACCUUCUAGAAGUCAGCAGCUUUAAGGCUGCUACACCAACAGAAGACAGCUACCUAUAAAGCAAACUACCAGCAGUUCUGAGACAGCCACAGAGACCUGCAGAAAUAACAGCAACCACCAUCUGCACAAGGACCUAAGAUGAGUCAGAGGGAUUUUGGUGUGAGAGUCAUGUGAAGAAUUGGGCCUACCUUAUCAUGUUCUCUUCCAGAUGGAUCCAGGCUGGUGCUUGCAGAGCCAGCUCCCAGCCUAGAGAAAUCCUACUUGGGGUCCUCUCACAGAAUCCAGGCAAGCACAAGUCUAUGUUGUGAUCCAACAACUUCUUAAUGCAAACUAGCAAGGGGGUGCAGAGGAAUUACAGGACUUUCCUGAUUCUGGUGGAUAACUUGCUUUGUGAGACACAUUAUAUACAAACCCGCUCCUCCCCAUUGAUCAAAGUGGAGGAUGUGGUUUGCCAUGGCUAGUCACAACUACCAAAUAUGUUCCAGAUGAGUUUUAUUGGCUUUCUCCAACAUGACAUCCCAAGGAGAUUUGUUUGAAUUCAUGUGGACCAGGCAGCAGCUCUUUGGAAGAACAAACUGAGGAAGAAAAAACACUGAAGCUAUUUUGGCUAGAAUGCCACAAAACCUGACCUGACUCUGGUCUGCUAGAAUUCAGUUCAUGGAGAAGCCAUAAGAAGAAAAACGGCACCAGGUGCCUCAUUUUCUUAGUGGUGGAAUCAUCAUAUGCUAACCUGCCUAUUUCAGACAGUUUGAACUAGUGAUAUUGCCUAGUGCUUUACACAUGUUAGUAGUUCUUAAAAAACGGUUGCUGCUGAAAAGGGCUCCAGAGAGCCUUUAAACUGUCCCUGGUUUUCUGUUUUUCACUGACUAGUAUUAGUAAUAUAUUUGGGGAUGAAAGAGUACUUGUGUUUCAUUUAUUUUAAAAUGUAAUUGUGCAAAUUACAUUAACUGAGAGUGUUUUCAUAGGGUUGGGCAUAUUAUUGGAAGAUUCUUGUUUUAAAGAUGUUGCAGAUCACUAUGAGACAGCUGUUAUAUUUUGACAGAAGGGGAGUAAGGCAAGGGUACAACAUAAAUAAUUCUCACUUAAUGACCUCAAACUUCAAGGUCAAAUAUUUUACAGGUUUAUUAGAAAUUUCCCGACCAUAAUUGAUUUCGUUUUUUUUCCCCAAAGAAAAAAAUGUUUUCAUGGUUUUUACAUUAAAAACAGAAGUGUGUUAACCUUCCAGGCAUGCUGCAUGACUUAUCUAUUCUCCAAGGUUUUACUUGCGGACUGAGUUGAUCAGGCUUUUCUUAGAUUGUAGUAUGAAGAUGGUAUUUGGAUUGUGGAUUAGGAUAUUUUGGAGCUAUUAAGUGGGCUGAAGGAAGUCAACAAUAAUUGGGUUGUUCUAGCAAGUCCUUUUAUGGAUAUUAAAUGGAAAUAGAAAUAACCUAGAGGAUAGACAUUUAUUAAAUGGAAAGAAAUACGUUAAAUAUAUAUGAUAUCUGGAGUCUGUAAAUUGUGUCUGCAAUAAUUAAUAUUUCAGAAGCUUGUGCAAGUACAUUGCAGGUAAGAAGCUACAACUGUAGCUCAGAAUGUCUGAUCUAAAGCUAUAUAAGGUCAGGGGUAAAAUUAACUUCUUCCAUCCAGAUAAAAGUCUCAGUAGAUGUUAGAAAAUUACUUAACCAUAACAAAAAAUUGACAAGUGUCCAAGAGGAAAGCUGGAAGUCCUGCUAACCUCAAGUGACUGUUAGCAUUUCAUAGGUUCAAGAUUUCAACUUUUUCCAUGUCAGUAAAGUGUGCUGGGCUCCUAGUUGCUGCAAAUGGUUUAAAUAAAGUCACUGAGGCUCAGUAAUCAGGUAUAUAACAAUACAGUUUACUGACCAUGUGUGGUAUUGCAUGACUAUUCACACAGCACUAAUUAAACUCCCCAAGUCCCAUCUCAGUAUAUACUGUGCUUACUUCAAAACCAAGGGAGGAUUCUAUGGGGAAAAUGUCUUUGGUUGCUUCAAAGUCCUGCUUCAAAACUUUCCACCAUGGAGUUCCUGUUUAGCAGUAGGUUGUAUUUAGCUGGACAGUGUCAAUUGUGGGCACGAUGGCAAUAACAACAACGCAGUGAUAGAAAGAGGCCAUCCCCUGUUAUAAAAAUGUGCAUUGUGAAAAGAACAUCAUUAAUCACUUUAAAACAAAAUGUUUCAUUGCUUUCAUCACCAAAAAAAUUAAUCCGGAGUUUCAAAAAAGAAGAAUGCAUAAAUAAUAUAAAAGCAACAAAGAAUCCUG